GAUAAUUUCUCUUCUUUAUGUAAUCCACCUGUUUGUUACCGCUGUUUAAACUAUUGUUUGUUCCCUAAUUCCCUUGCUUGUUGUGUAACUUUAUUGAUAAUAAUGGCAUAACCAUUUUACCAUCAGUGCAUAAUAUCUAGUGAAAUUAGCUUGUUAACUUUAAGGUUGUACAAAGCUGUGCUAUGGUUCAGUACCAUUUUUUCCUCUUCACGAGCAUGUAUGGAAAUUGCUUUUCUGAUGGUAUGACAUACAGGCCUCACCUAAAGUAAUAGGUGGCAUUAUUACUUUCUUGCGGUCUCGAAAAUGAGUCCGUGUACCUUGAGAUAUAAGCUUAUGACACAAUUUCUUGAAACAUAUUAACAUAUUUGUAAACCCUUGAUAAAUACAAUUGCUUUUGUCUUAUAUUUUUAUUUCCUUGCAGAAGUUGAUCUGAGCAUUAUAAAGUUGUAUAGUUGUUACCCACUGAUUGUAUACCAAGAAGGCAUAAUUGUUAGGCUAAAGAGACAAGCAGGUGUUACAGCAACAGGGAGUAGCACUAGCAUGGAAGCUAAUAUGCAUUUGUAUUAACCAGCUCAAGUGGAUUUAGAUUGAUUCAAUUGCUACAUGUAUGUUGCUGGAAAUCUUAUGUUGUAUGCAUGUAUAUUUGUGCUAGAAUUGCUUAUUGUAAUUUCUGGCUGGAACUUUUUUUUUAUAAGUGAGUUGUGAAAACCGGUUAUAUGGGCUGUGUAUAAAGUUAAAUCUUGUUAGUUGCUA